rnacentral:rRNA from 1 species
UUCCGGUUGAUCCCGCCGGACCCUACUGCUAUCGGGACGGGACUUAGACAUGCAAGUCGAGCGCCUUGAGUUAUGGCGAGGCGCGGCGUACGGCUCAGUAACACGUGGCUAACCUACCCUUGGGACGGGGACAAUCCCGGGAAACUGGGGCUAAUAUCUGAUAGGAGAGGAGGCCUGGAAUGGUUCCUCUCUCAAAGGGUUUUGAGACCAUGCUUCUCAACGCCGCCCAAGGAUGGGGCCGCGGCCGAUCAGGUUGUUGGUGUGGUAACGGCUCACCAAGCCUAUAACCGGUACGGGCCAUGAGAGUGGGAGCCCGGAGAUGGGCACUGAGACAAGGGCCCAAGCCCUACGGGGUGCAGCAGUCGCGAAAACUCCGCAAUGCGCGAAAGCGUGACGGGGCUAUCCCGAGUGCCGUCCGCUGAGGAUGGCUUUUCUCCGCUGUAAGGAGGCGGAGGAAUAAGGAGAGGGCAAGACUGGUGUCAGCCGCCGCGGUAAUACCAGCUCUCCGAGUGGUAGGGAUGAUUAUUGGGCUUAAAGCGUUCGUAGCCGGCCCAGUAAGUCUUUCGUUAAAUCCAGCGAUUCAAUCGUUGGACCGCGGAAGAUACUGUUGGGCUAGGGGGCGGGAGAG